GCCCCGGUAGCUUAGCCGGGUAGAGAUGAGUGCAGCGCCUCAAGCGCCGGCCUUGUAAGCCGGAGGACCCGGGUUCGAAGCCCGGCCGGGGCUCCA
rnacentral:tRNA from 1 species